rnacentral:lncRNA from 10 species
ACAUCACUUACUGAUGGUUAUGAAGCAGAUGCUCAAUAAUUUUUUUUUAAUAAACAGGAGGGCAAGGAGCCAAUGUCGUUUGUAGUGGAGGGUAGUCAUGGACACUGAGAGUAUGUUUUAGACACAAUUUAUCAAUGGCCAGCCUCAGGCUGAGAUAAAAUAUAACAGAGUUUGCCAAGGUCUUUCAUGCCCAGGCAGUCAGUGCUCACAUGUUCCCUGUAACUGCCUGGGUACCUUUCCCUGAGUCAUCAGUCCUGUGUCUUAAUUCUUUUAGUAGCACCUGCAUUCUGCUCCUUUAACCUUCCAUCAAUCAGCUCUUAUAUACUGUACAUCUCUUUCUCAAGAAGCCUUGUGCAACGCAUGGUGAUUUCAACAGUGAUGAAUAUUUCCUUCCCUCUGACUUCUUAUGAAACCAGGAUAAUGAAGCAAAUUAGAAUGUAUUUUAACAUCACUCUCCCUUGUUUGCUGUCCAGCUAAUGAACAGUGGACUGGCUGAAGAAAGACCAGCAUGAAGCAGAAAAAUUGUUUGGUGAAAAAUUCAAGAAUGGGCCAAUAUCCAUUAAAAGAUUGAAAGAGGAGAUGUUUUGGGUCCACCUCCACUGGGGACAGAAAUUCCAUUCUGCCAACACCCCCUCCAUAUCCAUUGUCUGAAAGAGGCACUGCUGUUGAGUCAUAAGUAGGCUCCAGUGGCCCAUGUUGACCCUUUGAAAUUCCCAUGGGACUGUCAAUUCUAUCUAUUCUGGGAGCAGCCAACCAUAGCUAAUUACAGGCCUGUGGUAUUAGUGGAACAAGCUUCAGCUUUUUACAUUGGCUUGAUGGAGAACUGAGUAGAUAUAAAAGUGUUACAUGUUUUUCUGUAAUCAUAAUAACGUAAUCUUGUUUCAUAAUCAUUAAUAAUUCCUAACAUUUAUUGAAGAGUUAAUAUGUGUUGAGUAUUUUUGUAAGUGCUUAACAUGCAGUUUUUAAAAUUUUAACUCCUUUUUACAGAAAAGGUUUACAGAACGCCAGAGGGGUAGGUGAUUUUGCCAGAGCUCUUUUAGGUAAUAGGAAACAAAGCCAUAAAUUUGAUCCCAGCUAGUUUGACCCCAUAGUCCAAGCAUUAAUCCCUGAACCACACUAGCUCUGGCAAGGGUAUAAAUGAGCAGUGAUUACUAACUGACUUAAAACACAAUAGGAAUUAUCCCCAGUGAAUUCCAACAUAUAAAGGGACACUAAUUCUUGCCAUAGAAAAUCUAUUUGAUAAGUAUGAACAAGAAUUCCAAGGUUAUCAAAAAUAAUUUCUAAUAGUUUAAUUCUUUA